GACGAACGCUGGCGGCGUGCCUAAUACAUGCAAGUCGAGCGCACAUUUUAUACCGUAGCUUGCUACAUCAUAAACUGUGAGUUGCGAACGUGUGAGUCACGCGUAGGUCACCUGCCUCGUAGCGGGGGAUAACUAUUGGCAACGAUAUCUAAUACCGCAUAAUAUUAAUUUUUGCAUGACCUUUAAUUUAAAGGUGCAAUUGCACCACUACCAGAUGGACCUGCGUUGUAUUAGCUAGUAGGUGAGGUAACGCCUCACCUAGGCGGCGAUACAUAGCGGACAUGAGAGGGAGAACGGCCAAACUGGGAGAGAGACACAGCACAGAGACCGACGGGAAGAAGCAGUAGCGAAUCUUACGCAAUGGAGGAGAGUCGGACCUAGCAACGCCGCGUAAGUGAAGAAGGUGCUAGGAUCGGAAAGCGAUGUAGUAAGAGAAGAACGGGAGUGAGAGUGGAAAGGUCACACUGUGACUGUACCUUACCAGAAAGAGACGGCUAACUACGUG
rnacentral:rRNA from 1 species